GGGAAAUUGUGGGCUGCCAGUUGAGGGAGCUAAUUGUUAAAACAGUAUAUAGUCUUCUUGAAAAAGAGGACUAUAUAUGUUAUGAAAUUUAAAAAUGAGGACUAGAAAUUUCGAAAUUUGAAAAUAAGGAUUAUAUUUUUUAUUUUUCACAUUUAUACUCCUAUUUCGGCCAUGAUGGAAUCUAUAAUCCUCUUCUGAUGUGUUAAAUAGGCCACCUGGUUCUCUGCCUCCGCGGUGGCGCGAAGAAGAAGCUCGGCUGAGGAAGGAGAACCACUUCGACUGCGAUGCAUGUGGUGUUUGCUACCUGCUGCAUUGUUGGCAUGGGCGGCAUUGGAAAUACGAUCGAGCACCACAACAUCUCCAUCUCCGAUGAGAAAGAGCUUCAUCUUGAUGCGUUUGAAGAGGAAGAAUAUGCAGAAGCUGAUUAUUCUGUUGAUGAUUACAUUGAAAAGGAGGGAUACGACACUGAAGAAACUGUGAUUCAAACUCAGAUGGAUCAAUGGAAAUUUCUCCUGAUUCUGUGAUAUCCAGAUCCAGAUAGAUAUGUUUUCAAUCAGCUGUUAUUCCACAGAAUCAAGAAACUAAAAUUGAAGUUGAUGAAAUAACUGAAUCAAGACCGGGUAAAGGAGCAAUACCUCGUCUCUUUGCAGGUGUAGGUACAACCAGUUCGUCAACAAAGAGAUUCCAAUGAGGCUAUCCUGCAAGAGAAGGAAUGUUUGGGAAACGCAGUCGAUCGGAGAUGAGAGGAGUGGUGGUGCAAAUGAAGUAAUCUAGAGAGCUCGAUCGGCGAGGAAGGCCAGAUGUUUUAUUUUCAAACAGUGUCUGCACCACAUCUCUGAUGUGAAACAGACAUACCUCUAGCUCUAGAUAUAUACUUUGAUAGCCCAAAUGAUACAACUUACAAAGGAUCUUCAGAUACUAAUUUCAAAGUUUCAA